rnacentral:rRNA from 1 species
AACGAACGCUGGCGGCAGGCCUAACACAUGCAAGUCGAGCGCGCCCUUCGGGGUUAGUGGCGGACGGGGGAGUAACGCGUGGGAACGUGCCCUUUUAUACGGAAUAGCCUCGGGAAAAAGGUGGUAAUACCGGAUAAGCUCUUUGGGGGAAAGAUUUAUCGGAAUAGGAUGGGCCCGCGUUGGAUUAGGUAGUUGGUAGGGUAAUGGCCUACCAAGGCGACGAUCCAUAGCUGGUUUGAGAGGAUGAUCAGCCACACUGGGACUGAGACACGGCCCAGACUCCUACGGGAGGCAGCAGUGGGGAAUCUUAGACAAUGGGGGCAACCCUGAUCUAGCCAUGCCGCGUGAGUGAUGAAGGCCUUAGGGUUGUAAAGCUCUUUCAUCUGGGAAGAUAAUGACGGUACCAGCAGAAUAAGCCCCGGCUAACUCCGUG